rnacentral:rRNA from 1 species
GACGAACGCUGGCGGCGUGCUUAACACAUGCAAGUCGAGCGGUAAGGCCCUUUCGGGGGUACACGAGCGGCGAACGGGUGAGUAACACGUGGGUGACCUGCCCUCAGCUCUGGGAUAAGCCCGGGAAACUGGGUCUAAUACUGGAUAUGACUCCAUGACGCAUGUUGUGGGGUGGAAAGCCUUGUGCGGCUAGAGAUGGGCCCGCGGCCUAUCAGCUUGUUGGUGGGGNGAUGGCCUACCAAGGCGACGACGGGUAGCCGGCCUGAGAGGGCGACCGGCCACACUGGGACUGAGAUACGGCCCAGACUCCUACGGGAGGCAGCAGUGGGGAAUCUUGCGCAAUGGGCGAAAGCCUGACGCAGCGACGCCGCGUGAGGGAUGACGGCCUGGUGUAA